GAUGAACGCUGGCGGCGUGCUUAACACAUGCAAGUCGAACGGAAAGGCUCCUGCUUGCAGGGGUACUCGAGUGGCGAACGGGUGAGUAACACGUGGGUGAUCUGCCCUGCACUUCGGGAUAAGCCUGGGAAACUGGGUCUAAUACCGGAUAGGACGAUGGUUUGGAUGCCAUUGUGGAAAGUUUUUUCGGUGUGGGAUGAGCUCGCGGCCUAUCAGCUUGUUGGUGGGGUAAUGGCCUACCAAGGCGUCGACGGGUAGCCGGCCUGAGAGGGUGUACGGCCACAUUGGGACUGAGAUACGGCCCAGACUCCUACGGGGGGCAGCAGUGGGGAAUAUUGCACAAUGGGCGCAAGCCUGGUGCAGCGACGCCGCGUGGGGGAUGACGGCCUUCGGGUUGUAAACUCCUUUCGCUAGGGACGAAGCGCAAGUGACGGUACCUGGAGAAGAAGCACCGGCUAACUACGUG
rnacentral:rRNA from 1 species